UAAAUGGCUCUAUAUGGUGCAAAACUGCUUAAUCCCCCAGGAUAGAAAUAUAGCAAGGGUAAGCUAGUCCUUGCAGGUAUAUAGAGCCUUUUUUGA
rnacentral:SRP_RNA from 1 species